UACGUAGGGGGGCUAGCGUUGUCCGGAAUCAUUGGGCGUAAAGCGCGUGUAGGCGGCCCGGUAAGUCCGCUGUGAAAGUCGGGGGCUCAACCCUCGAAAGCCGGUGGAUACUGUCGGGCUAGAGUACGGAAGAGGCGAGUGGAAUUCCUGGUGUAGCGGUGAAAUGCGCAGAUAUCAGGAGGAACACCUAUUGCGAAGGCAGCUCGCUGGGACGUAACUGACGCUGAGACGCGAAAGCGUGGGGAGCAAACAGG
rnacentral:rRNA from 1 species